rnacentral:rRNA from 1 species
AGUGAACGCUGGCGGUAGGCCUAACACAUGCAAGUCGAACGGCAGCACAGGAGAGCUUGCUCUCUGGGUGGCGAGUGGCGGACGGGUGAGGAAUACAUCGGAAUCUACUUUUUCGUGGGGGAUAACGUAGGGAAACUUACGCUAAUACCGCAUACGACCUACGGGUGAAAGCAGGGGAUCUUCGGACCUUGCGCGAUUGAAUGGGCCGAUGAGGGAUUAGCUAGUUGGCGGGGUAAAGGCCCACCAAGGCGACGAUCCGUAGCUGGUCUGAGAGGAUGAUCAGCAACACUGGAACUGAGACACGGUCCAGACUCCUACGGGAGGCAGCAGUGGGGAAUAUUGGACAAUGGGCGCAAGCCUGAUCCAGCCAUACCGCGUGGGUGAAGAAGGCCUUCGGGUUGUAAAGCCCUUUUGUUGGGAAAGAAAUCCAGCUGGUUAAUACCCGGUUGGGAUGACGGUACCCAAAGAAUAAGCACCGGCUAACUUCGUGCCAGCCGCCGCUGUAC